rnacentral:lncRNA from 1 species
AGUUACAAAAGGCUUUGUUUACACAGACAGCCUAAUUCUGAUAUUUUUGACCAAUCAGAUCAGCUCUGAAAAGAUCUGAUGUGAAAAGGUCUGACGUUAUUGGUCAGAAGACCAACUAGUGGAAAAAAGAUCAGAAACGGGCUGCCAGUCUAAACACAGCCUUAAGGAUCAGAGUCAGUAUGUAUAGAUACAAACAUACGAUUGGGACAUUUCAGCUGCCAUACAGUGGGGAGACAUCAACUGAAGGCAGCCAAUCUGAAACUCUACAAUCAAGCAGCAAGUCUCCAAACAAAGUAAGUUAUUGUAGGUUAUGUUAAAGAAACAAUGACAUUUCAUGAGACAAAAAUGUGAUUUAAUUACACAUACUUACAGUACAUCAUUUCAUGAAGUAAUCACAUAUUUGGUGGCUAUUUGUACAUAUGUAAAUUAUAAUUAGCUUAUGUCAUGAAAUGUGGUAUGAGUCUGUAACUUUAGUAUAAUAAUAACAUAUGUACUGUACACUUUCGAAACAGUCAAAAUGACCUUUAUAGUUAAACCAAUAUCCAUAUUAUAGUUCAUCCAACUUAAAAAGUGUAGUUCAGAUGAUGAUAUCGAUCUGUAAGUAAGGGGGACUUGACAUUUAUUUGAUUUUUUUUCAAGUCAGGGAUGUAUGUUAAUAAAACCAUCCUGACAACUUUUUUAAAAAGAAGGCUAAUUGGUUCCAGUUAAUUGGGAGAGCCAUUUUAACAUUACUCUUGGAUACAAACUGUUGUUCAAAUACUUUUAUUGAAUGUCUGAUUGAACUACUGUACAGGUUAUUCACUCAUUGUGGAUUGACAAGAGCUAUCUACAUCUAUCAGACCGCAGAUCUUCCAUCAAGCAGCUAUGUCCAAACUUGGGAGAAAAAGGGAAAUGAAGGUGCGUUAUAAUGACAGAGUUGUAAAGGAGAACUUUUCCAGUGGAGAGCAUAAGAAUAUCGCCUCAUUAAAACAAGAGAAGACCCUUUUAAACGAGGCAGGAAUAGAUAGAUACCUCUCAAAAUACAUAGCACCAUACCCAGAAGCACCAGAGUUCCAUCUGUCCAAAGUUGCCCAUGUCACUACAAAAAGAGGCCUUGAUGGAAUCUUGAAAUCAGGUGGAUUUAAGGGGGGUGAGAAGAGUUUCCUGUGGUGUAAUCUUCCUGUGGAUGAUGACGAUAUCAUUGCAGCAGAACGCCGUUACCUGGAGAAGAUCUUCCCUGACAGAACACCUGAGCAGAGGCAGAUACAGCAACCCUUCCUCAGCAAGUUCACCACCUCACCUGCCUUCAGGAAGGCAUCACGCUUUGGGAACUUCAGGUUCACUUUCAGUCUGUCUGAUUUCCUGAUGAUGUACAGUCAGCAAAUCUGUGGUGGAAAACAGCCUGUCCUGAGAGUGUAUGAGACUGUAGUCUACAAACAAGAGAUCAUGUACACAGUGCUUGUUCACAGUCCAGAUGAUAAGGAAUUUGAGAAGUACCCCAUUCUUGGUGAUGGUAGUGAUGAUGCUCUCUGUGCUUACAUGAGGGGCAACAUUGUCUGGCGUGCACAAGCCAUGUCUGAAACCCAUGCCUUUGGGUUAGCCAUAGAUGAAGUUAACCAAAAUGUAGUAACAGAAGGCGGGGGGAAUGCAUGGUACAUGUGGGACCAUGUGACCCUGGCAUUCCACCUGCCUGAAGGUCAGAUCCUACAUUUUGACAUGAAGAUUGUGAUCAAAAACCUUACUACUUGUGAUGCCGAUGAAAUGUUUAUUGGAGUGAAAUGUCGCAAAAAAGGGCACGAGUGUGUGGGUACAUGUCCAUGUGGAAAAUGUCUCGUACCCCUCGCCACAGCUGAUGAAAUAGUUGAGGGCAUAUCAUGUGAUUACAAAACCAACUGUUGAAGUUUGUCUUUUUCCCUCCAGUAGCUUAUUAAAAAAGUUUAUGAUGAGGGAAAUUCAUUCAAUCAACAGGUGUGGUGUUUUAACUUAAUGCUGUCACAUUUUUUCAGUCAUCUUUUGUCAUAUAAGAUUUAUACCAAUAAUGUAGUUAACCAACAGUUUCAACAAAUUGUGCAUCAUCAUGAAAUGGUGUUGUGUCAUAGUUCUGUAGUCUUUUUCCAUAGCACUCGAGUGUCCCUAGUGAUUAUGUUAAUGUAGGCUCUAGUACCUUUUUGAAAAUGUUUCAUAUUUUUUUCUAAACAUUGUUGUAAUUUCCUUUCCAACCUAUCCCUGGAUAAAGUGAUGAUGCAUCUAAAAAAAAUACUUUGUCUGCUUUGGAAAUAAAUUCCAAGAAUGACGACACAAUCGUUGCCUGGUUUUAUUGUGACCUGCUACAAGAGAUUUAAUUUAAACGGCCUGCUUCAAUUUCCAUCAUCCCAACAAAUGAUCAUGAUAAUGCCUACAAACAUUUCUCUAAAGGGUUUAGUAUUUGAAGAUAGUGUGGUUUAAUAUGUCAGCAAUGACAACUAUUUUUUAACAACC